AUGAACGCUAGCGACAGGCUUAACACAUGCAAGUCGAGGGGCAGCACAGGUAGCAAUACCGGGUGGCGACCGGCGCACGGGUGAGUAACGCGUAUGCAACUUACCUAUCAGAGGGGGAUAACCCGGCGAAAGUCGGACUAAUACCGCAUGAAGCAGGGGCCCCGCAUGGGGAUAUUUGCUAAAGAUUCAUCGCUGAUAGAUAGGCAUGCGUUCCAUUAGGCAGUUGGCGGGGUAACGGCCCACCAAACCGACGAUGGAUAGGGGUUCUGAGAGGAAGGUCCCCCACAUUGGUACUGAGACACGGACCAAACUCCUACGGGAGGCAGCAGUGAGGAAUAUUGGUCAAUGGCCGAGAGGCUGAACCAGCCAAGUCGCGUGAGGGAUGAAGGUUCUAUGGAUCGUAAACCUCUUUUAUAAGGGAAUAAAGUGCGGGACGUGUCCCGUUUUGUAUGUACCUUAUGAAUAAGGAUCGGCUAACUCCGUGCCAGCAGCCGCGGUAAUACGGAGGAUCCGAGCGUUAUCCGGAUUUAUUGGGUUUAAAGGGUGCGUAGGCGGCCUUUUAAGUCAGCGGUGAAAGUCUGUGGCUCAACCAUAGAAUUGCCGUUGAAACUGGGGGGCUUGAGUAUGUUUGAGGCAGGCGGAAUGCGUGGUGUAGCGGUGAAAUGCAUAGAUAUCACGCAGAACCCCGAUUGCGAAGGCAGCCUGCCAAGCCAUGACUGACGCUGAUGCACGAAAGCGUGGGGAUCAAACAGGAUUAGAUACCCUGGUAGUCCACGCAGUAAACGAUGAUCACUAGCUGUUUGCGAUACACUGUAAGCGGCACAGCGAAAGCGUUAAGUGAUCCACCUGGGGAGUACGCCGGCAACGGUGAAACUCAAAGGAAUUGACGGGGGCCCGCACAAGCGGAGGAACAUGUGGUUUAAUUCGAUGAUACGCGAGGAACCUUACCCGGGCUUGAAUUGCAGAGGAAGGAUUUGGAGACAAUGACGCCCUUCGGGGUCUCUGUGAAGGUGCUGCAUGGUUGUCGUCAGCUCGUGCCGUGAGGUGUCGGCUUAAGUGCCAUAACGAGCGCAACCCUUGCCACUAGUUACUAACAGGUAAAGCUGAGGACUCUGGUGGGACUGCCAGCGUAAGCUGCGAGGAAGGCGGGGAUGACGUCAAAUCAGCACGGCCCUUACAUCCGGGGCGACACACGUGUUACAAUGGCGUGGACAAAGGGAAGCCACCUGGCGACAGGGAGCGAAUCCCCAAACCACGUCUCAGUUCGGAUCGGAGUCUGCAACCCGACUCCGUGAAGCUGGAUUCGCUAGUAAUCGCGCAUCAGCCAUGGCGCGGUGAAUACGUUCCCGGGCCUUGUACACACCGCCCGUCAAGCCAUGGGAGCCGGGGGUACCUGAAGUCCGUAACCGCGAGGAUCGGCCUAGGGUAAAACUGGUGACUGGGGCU
rnacentral:rRNA from 1 species